rnacentral:rRNA from 1 species
AUUGAACGCUGGCGGCAGGCUUAACACAUGCAAGUCGAACGAGUGGCGGACGGGUCAGUAAUGCUUGGGAAUCUGGCUUAUGGAGGGGGAUAACUACGGGAAACGGUAGCUAAUACCGCGUACCAUAGGAUGAGCCCAAGUGGGAUUAGGUAGUUGGUGAGGUAACGGCUCACCAAGCCGCCGAUCUCUAGCUGGUCUGAGAGGAUGACCAUCCACACUGGGACUGGGACACGGCCCAGACUCCUACGGGAGGCAGCAGUGGGGAAUAUUGCGCAAUGGGGGCAACCUGACGCAGCCAUGCCGCGUGAAUGAAGAAGGCCUUCGGGUUGUAAAGUUCUUUCGGGAGCGAGGCGUUAACUACAGAAGAAGCACCGGCUAACUCCGUGCCAGCAGCCGCGGUAAUUC